rnacentral:rRNA from 1 species
UACGAAGGGGGCUAGCGUUGUUCGGAAUUACUGGGCGUAAAGCGCACGUAGGCGGCUUUGUAAGUUAGAGGUGAAAGCCCAGGGCUCAACCCUGGAAUUGCCUUUAAGACUGCAUCGCUUGAACAUCGGAGAGGUAAGUGGAAUUCCGAGUGUAGAGGUGAAAUUCGUAGAUAUUCGGAAGAACACCAGUGGCGAAGGCGACUUACUGGACGAUUGUUGACGCUGAGGUGCGAAAGCGUGGGGGAGCAAACAGG